CCUACGGGAGGCAGCAGUGAGGAAUAUUGGUCAAUGGGCGCGAGCCUGAACCAGCCAAGUAGCGUGAAGGAUGACUGCCCUACGGGUUGUAAACUUCUUUUAUAAAGGAAUAAAGUGAGGCACGUGUGCCUUUUUGUAUGUACUUUAUGAAUAAGGAUCGGCUAACUCCGUGCCAUCAGCCGCGGUAAUACGGAGGAUCCGAGCGUUGUCCGGAUUUAUUGGGUUUAAAGGGAGCGUAGAUGGGUUGUUAAGUCAGUUGUGAAAGUGUGCGGCUCAACCGUAAAAUUGCAAUUGAUACUGGCAGUCUUGAGUACAGUUGAGGUAGGCGGAAUUCGUGGUGUAGCGGUGAAAUGCUUAGAUAUCACGAAGAACUCCGAUUGCGAAGGCAGCUUACUAAACUGCCACUGACACUGAUGCUCGAAAGUGUGGGUAUCAAACAGGAUUAGAUACCCGUGUAGUC
rnacentral:rRNA from 1 species